rnacentral:rRNA from 1 species
UACGUAGGUGACAAGCGUUGUCCGGAUUUACUGGGCGUAAAGAGCGCGCAGGCGGUCGAUCAAGUCGAGUGUGAAAGCCCCCGGCUCAACUGGGGAGGGUCAUUCGAUACUGAUCGACUCGAAGGCAGGAGAGGGUAGUGGAAUUCCCGGUGUAGUGGUGAAAUGCGUAGAUAUCUGGAGGAACACCGGUGGCGAAGGCGGCAUCCUGGACCAACACUGACACUGAGGAGCGAAAGCCAGGGGGGCAAACGGG